GCCACGCAAGCAACGCCUGGGACUGAAGGUCAUGCUGCCUGGCUUUGUGGGGACAGAUGGCCAUCGCUCAUGAUGUUAGCAAGAAACUUGACGCUGACUUCUGGACAUCAGCUGCUCACUGUCAUUCCUGAAAAGUCAACCGUGAUCACCCUCAUUCCUGAGAAAGAAAAUGGGACUCAGAGAUUAAGCAACUUGGUCCAAACAGCCGAGCUAGAAUCUACCUAAAACCAGAACAGGCCCUUCUUCUACAUCCUACCCUGCAGCGCCCUAUAGAACAUUACAGACCUGCAGUCAUCUUGGGGUACGAAGUUCAAUCCCAGCUCCCCUGUUCCACUCCUACCCCUGGAAUUUUGGCCAAUUCUUGGCAUCCUGAGCAGUAAGUAAGUCUGAAAGAGCAGCUAACUGGAAUCCUUUCCCUGGGGACCUCUUAGCCUGGAUUCGUUGUUUUGUUUUGUUUUGUUUUGUUUUGUUUUGAGUACAGCCACUUUCCCUUUCAAGGAGCCCAAAGCGUUUUCCUGGAAGGGGUCCGGUGGCAGGCGACAGGCCCCCUGGGCCCCAG